GACGAACGCUGGCGGCGUGCUUAACACAUGCAAGUCGAACGGAAAGGCCCUGCUUUUGUGGGGUGCUCGAGUGGCGAACGGGUGAGUAACACGUGAGUAACCUGCCCUUGACUUUGGGAUAACUUCAGGAAACUGGGGCUAAUACCGGAUAGGAGCUCCUGCUGCAUGGUGGGGGGUGGAAAGUUUGGGCGGUUUGGGAUGGACUCGCGGGUAAUCAGCUUGUUGGUGGGGUAGUGGCUGACCAAGGCUUUGACGGGUAGCCGGCCUGUGAGGGUGGCCGGCCACCAUGGUACUGAGAUACGCAGCAGACUCCUACGGGAGGCAGAAGUGGAGAGUAUUGCACAGUGAGCCGAAGCCUGAUGCGGAAACGCCGCGUGCGGGAUGACGGCCUUCGAGUUGUGAACCGCUUUCGACUGUGACGACGCGUGAGUGACGGUAAUGAGUAAGGAAGCACCGGCUAACUACGUG
rnacentral:rRNA from 1 species